GAUGAACGCUGGCGGCGUGCUUAACACAUGCAAGUCGAACGGAAAGGCUCCUGCUUGCAGGGGUACUCGAGUGGCGAACGGGUGAGUAACACGUGGGUGAUCUGCCCUGCACUUCGGGAUAAGCCUGGGAAACUGGGUCUAAUACCGGAUAGGACGAUGGUUUGGAUGCCAUUGUGGAAAGUUUUUCGGUGUGGGAUGAGCUCUCGGCCUAUCAGCUUGUUGGUGGGGUAAUGGCCUACCAAGGCGUCGACGGGUAGCCGGCCUGAGAGGGUGUACGGCCACAUUGGGACUGAGAUACGGCCCAGACUCCUACGGGAGGCAGCAGUGGGGAAUAUUGCACAAUGGGCGCAAGCCUGAUGCAGCGACGCCGCGUGGGGGAUGACGGCCUUCGGGUUGUAAACUCCUUUCGCUAGGGACGAAGCGCAAGUGACGGUACCUGGAGAAGAAGCACCGGCUAACUACGUG
rnacentral:rRNA from 1 species